AGAAAUAAAUAUAGCAGCCACAGCAAAAAUGUUGUUGUCAAAGCUGCCAUGUUCAGAUGUGUGUGUGUGAAUAAGUAACUUGAUCAGACACACUCCAUAUUACCUUGUAUGGGACAGGGUCUUAGUGCCGAAUUUACAAUCUGGCUAGGAGCUGCUGGCAGUCAAAACGGGACAGCUUUAUGAUCCAAGGGCCUGGUCAGCCACAGUCUCUUCACCCUCCUGCCAUCCUGUAGAAAUUACAAGAGCUUUUGGACCUGUUCCAGCAGAUUCAGAAACAGUUUCUAUCCACAAUCCACCAAGAUGCUGAACUGUCAUUACACUUCCUCAUAAUGUGUUCAACUUUCACACCUCCUCAGAGGUUAUUGCACUUACCACUUUAGUUUUCAUUCUUGUUGUCUUCUUAGUACUCAUGUCACACUUCAGUCCUGUUUAAUUAGUAAUUAAUAUACCUUUUUAAUUCUACUAUUUAAUGUAUUAUUUACAGCUUAACUGGCGUUUGAGCAUAAUACAUUUCAUUACUAAUAAAUGUCUAUUUAUAAGUACAUGACAAUAAACUUGAACUUGAAAAUCA